ACAGUCUGUUUGGUUGCUCAGCGUGAAUAAAAGAACAGUUUCUACAUUAAUAUAACAGCAGUUUUUUUUAGAUUUGACAUCAGAGAUUUUAAAGUGAAAUGCAGCCUUUUUUUUAUCAAUUUCUUUAUCAAUUAUCAUCAUCAACUAUUUUCAGUAUGGUAAAGGAACUAGGAUUCUAUUUCAAGCUAUCUGGUCAAUACAAAGUCAAAUGUGAAAGAAAGCAAGAGAACUGGAGAACAAACUCAAUUCAGCCACUGGUUCUCAUCAUUCCGGCCUCAUCAAGGCUUCUGUUCCAAAAUGCAUGGGUAAAUAGUUUGCUCUCUAAUUAACAAAUGUCCAUACCAAGGCCUGUGUUGAUCUUCUGUUACUAACAGGCGUGCCGUCUAUAACUUUCUGAUGCAUAGCUUAAGGCACAGAAAAUUAAGAUUUGACCUUUGACACUUCCACCCUCUGCCCACCACACACGCACCCAAGCGCCGCGCGCGCACACACGGGAGUAACGGUACAUGACCGGAGGGUUGAUAGUUGAAAGACGGGUUGUUGGGUUUGUUGGGACGGCAUUUGACGACACUGGCUACACGAUUUUAUUGAAAUGUAAGCAAACAUCCAUGCUAUGCGUCAAUCUGUGAUACCACUGCACUCAUUUGGAAAUCAUCGCAUCUGUAUCGGCUGUUCUAUGCCUACAUACCUUAUAGAAGUUCACAUAAGCGGAGAAAUAGGACUAUACUACAUUACUUUGUAAUUAACAAAUAGCCCUAAUCCUAUAUAUUUCAGCUCUUUGGUUUAUUAUUUACAUUAAAACACCAGAGCCGAUGCAUUCCAGAGGAAGCCUUGGUAGAAAGGCAAACAGAUAUGUAACAGAAUGCAACAACAUAUUGCGUUCAAAGAACGCUACGGUGAGUACCCAAUUAUGUUUUAUAAAGUAAAUUCUGUGCUUUUCUGGCGUAAAAGCGUUUGCUGUCAGCUGUGAGGUCCAGUUAUGGCUUUUCUGACAGCAGAAAAAGACAAGGCUGCAACGCAACAAACCCAUCGACUGAGGGCUGGAUCGGACAUUGCAUCUUUAAAAGCAAGUGUUUCAGAUAUCCAUACUGUUAAGAAACAUACAUUGAAGGGGAGUGGACUACAUUGUCUAUUACGCAUAAAAUGGGACAGCUGUUAGACCAGCCUAUGCUGAGGGAAAUACAUGCAUACCACUGCUCGCAAGCAUAGCCACGUCUUCUACUAACGAUACCACCUCUCAGGAAGACUGAAUACGCGUAUUUGCAUGCAAGCAAAUCGAUUGUAACAACAUUUACACAAAACAAUCAGGCUUUUAUAAAAAUUACGUAAAUCAAGACACCUUUGAGCUAAAUACAAAGGGGGUAUGCCUACCGUUUUUAUUUUUCACUCGGAGACCGAGCGGUGGAUUCCAGCUCUAGCCGUCAAAUUACAGUAAUCCAAUGGUUUAAUCCUUGUUUUGUGAGCACCCACGUCACUUCCGCGUUUUCUCAACCAUACACCUGUAACGCCACUCGUGCCGAAUGGGACCCUAUAAAUAGAUGUGAUCAAGCCUCAGUGUAUCCCAUCACAUACGGUGCACAGUCACAACAAGGUGGUCUCUCAGUUUUCAGUGUGACUUGAAUCACCACGCCUAGGGCCAAUUAGGGUGCUUUAUUUAAAGAAUGUCGCGUAGACAUAAAUGACAAACUAAACGACGUAUGGCUCACGCUUCAAUGAAAACUAUAACGUCAAACCCGUUUAGUAGACAAGUAGACCGAGCUAUUCCAUGCUUGUGUUCUAUGCAGUGGUAGAAAGAGUUCAUUCUUGGCCAACUCUGGGAAUAACAGAGGGGCGGACCGAUACUAAUCAUGCCGUGAGGCCAUAUCUUCUGAACCAAUGAACAUGCGCUUUGG
ensembl:lncRNA